GACUUACUAGUCCACCAGUACGCUAGAAUCUUCAAGAAACUUGUAUCCUUAACCAUUAAGCUCUCUUUCUCAAAGAAGAAAAAGAAAACAAAUUAACUUAAAAAAAAAGGUUCUUUCCCUAUCUUGAAAGUCUUUAUAUAGAGACCUAUAGGUUUAGCUCAUUUUCAUAUAUAACAACAUUGCAAACUUAGUGAAAGAAGUUAGCCACAUUGUCCAAAACUUAGAACUAAGAGAAAGGAGAUUGAUAGAGAGAAAUGCCUCCUCGUUGGGGACCUCCACCAGGGCCUCCCGGUCCAGGACCAUUUGGUUGCUGUGAUUUUCUCUGUGGUGGUAUAUGCAGGCUUGUAUCUUCCUGGUGAGUUUUUAUUUUUACUAUUUUUUUAUUUUUUUUUCUUGAAAAUUAGAAUGCUACUUCUUUUUGGGGAUAAUCUUGUUAAUUAGUUGAAAAUAGAACAGAAAAAUUAGGAUUCAAUUGAGCUUGGCUAAGGUGCUACAUAUAUAUUGGACUGGAUUAACAAACUUGUAAUUCAUUUUUAAGAAACUUUGAAUCAUACCCAUUACAAAGGACAAAGUUUUGCAAGCAUGGAUAUUAUAAGAAGAAUAUGUAAUUCAAUGGUGGGUUUGUCAAAAAUCACCUCCAAUAGAAAGAUAUUAAAUAAGGUUAUAGCUUAAGAUUAUAAUCAAUAUUGUAGCUAAACUUUAUCUCAUUACAAAUAUCACAAAAAAAUGAUCGUUAAUUUUAUAUCAAUGUACAACCUAGUUUGAGAAAAUGAAAAAAAGAAAAACGAAAAAGAAAGUAGUAAUGUAGAUUAUGAUAUAAUAUAUAUUAUAAAUUAUCAUUCUGCUUUUGUUUGGUACAUUUUAAAAGUUUCUAAUUUGGGCUAUUUUGUUGGCAGUUUCUAUUUCGGCGAUUUUGGCCCAUUAGCAUUGUUUUUUAAAAUAUUUAGGCCCGAAACACUGUUUGGGAAAUAUUUAGGGAAGUACCACUUUUGGGCGUACUCGAGCUUGGAGAGCUCGAGUACCCCAUAUUUCUGUUCCAGCGUGGCACCUGACGUUGGAACGUUGGAACAGAAAAAUUUAAAAAAUAAACUUGGUACCCGAGCUCAUGAAGCUCGAGUACUGCUCAGCCAUCUCUCCCUAUUACCCCACACUUAAACCUUCUGUUACCCACAAUACCCAACCAAGAACAGAGCAAAACAUACCCACAAACCAAACCUCUCAAUCUCGCUAUCUCCCUCUCUCAAUCUCGUUAUCUCCCUCUCAAUCUAAAGCUAUUUCCACACAAAUACUCUCAUUCUGCCUCUCAAUCUCGCAAAUACUCCCAUUCUCCCUCUCAAUCUCGCGAUCUGCUUCAUUCUCCGUCUCCGUCUCGCUCUCGGUCUCCCUCUCACAAGGCUAAUUCGCGUAUCGAUGAUGGCCGGGGGAGUGGAAUCGUGGUCUCCGUCGCCGUCGCGCCUGAGGGAAUAGGAGAAGGGAAAGUGGUGGUUGUUGGAGGAGCGAUGGUAAUGGCCUUUUCCGUUGGGUGACAGUGGUGCGACGUCGUCUUCGUCCUCAUCUUCUUCUUCGCCCUUUCUUCUCCCUGUCUCCGACCAAUUAGGGUUUUCAAUUUCAUUUCACAGAGUCGCCACGCGGACCAUUUCCCCUUCAAUGGCGCUUUUUGCGAUACAUAGGUUACAGCGUUCACAGAUUAUAGUGAUUACGUCAUUGCAUUAGAACGAGCACCAAAAUUUUUGAAAGACAGUUUAGCCUCAGUAUAUGCACUUUAUCUUUGCAUCUUAUAAGCCUUCAAAGAGAUGAAUGACAAUAUCUUCUUUGGUCUUGAAAUAUUUCUGGUACUACUCCAUGUCUUGUACAACUAAUGGGAUUAUUCUUCGUUCCAGAGUCUCUCCUAGAUGGCUGGUGGGUCCAAAUAUAUGGGAAUGUAAUUUAUAUGUUGUUUUAAUUUUAUGACAUGUAACAAUAUUCUUUCAUUAUUUCAUGACUAUAUAAUAUAUAUAUGUGUCUGAAUUGGACUUUAUUGUA